UACGGAGGGUGCAAGCGUUAUCCGGAUUCACUGGGUUUAAAGGGUGCGUAGGUGGCUUUGUAAGUCAGUGGUGAAAUCCCGGAGCUCAACUCCGGAACUGCCAUUGAUACUGCUUAGCUUGAAUUAGGUUGAGGUGGAUGGAAUAAUACAUGUAGCGGUGAAAUGCUUAGAUAUGUAUUAGAACACCAAUUGCGAAGGCAGUUCACCAACCUAUAUUGACACUGAGGCACGAAAGCGUGGGGAUCAAACAGG
rnacentral:rRNA from 1 species